rnacentral:rRNA from 1 species
ACGGGUGAGUAAUGCCUAGGAAAUUGCCCUGAUGUGGGGGAUAACCAUUGGAAACGAUGGCUAAUACCGCAUAAUACCUACGGGUCAAAGAGGGGGACCUUCGGGCCUCUCGCGUCAGGAUAUGCCUAGGUGGGAUUAGCUAGUUGGUGAGGUAAUGGCUCACCAAGGCGACGAUCCCUAGCUGGUCUGAGAGGAUGAUCAGCCACACUGGAACUGAGACACGGUCCAGACUCCUACGGGAGGCAGCAGUGGGGAAUAUUGCACAAUGGGCGCAAGCCUGAUGCAGCCAUGCCGCGUGUGUGAAGAAGGCCUUCGGGUUGUAAAGCACUUUCAGUCGUGAGGAAGGUAGUGUAGUUAAUAGCUGCAUUAUUUGACGUUAGCGACAGAAGAAGCACCGGCUAACUCCGUGCCAGCAGCCGCGGUAAUACGGAGGGUGCGAGCGUUAAUCGGAAUUACUGGGCGUAAAGCGCAUGCAGGUGGUUUGUUAAGUCAGAUGUGAAAGCCCGGGGCUCAACCUCGGAAUAGCAUUUGAAACUGGCAGACUAGAGUACUGUAGAGGG